rnacentral:rRNA from 1 species
UAGUAACGGCGAGUGAAGAGGAAAGAGCUCAAAGUUGGAACCUGUUUGGCUUAGCUAAACCGGAUUGUAAACUGUAGAAGUGUUUUCCAGACACGCCUGGUAAAAAAGUCCUUUGGAACAGGGCAUCAUAGAGGGUGAGAAUCCCGUCAUUGGCCAGAGCUGUUGUCUUUUGUGAUACAUUUUCAAAGAGUCAGGUUGUUUGGGAAUGCAGCCUAAAUUGGGUGGUAAAUCUCACCUAAAGCUAAAUAUUUGCGAGAGACCGAUAGCGAACAAGUACCGUGAGGGAAAGAUGAAAAGAACUUUGAAAAGAGAGUUAAACAGUAUGUGAAAUUGUUAAAAGGGAACCGUUUGGAGCCAGACUGGCUUGAUCGUAAUCACUCUAGGCUUUGGCCUGGAUGCACUUGCGGUCUAUGCCGGCCAACGACAGUUUUGUUUGAGGGAAAAAAUUACAUUGAAUGUGGCCCUUCGGGGUGUUAUAGCUUUGUAAAAAAUACCUUGGACGGGACUGAGGAACGCAGCGAAUGCCUUUAGGCGAGAUUGCUGGGUGCUUGCGCUGAUACAUGCUAGAAUUUCUGCUUCGGGUGGUGCUAGUGUGUAAAGGAGUAACCCGCUUAGUAUAUUUUUUAUUCGCUUAGGUUGUUGGCUUAAUGACUCUAAAUGACCCGUCUUGAAACACGGACCAAGGAGUCCACCAUUAGUGCAAGUAUUUGGGUGACAAACCCAUAUGCGCAAGGAAACUGAUUGAUACGAAGGCGCAAGCUGGCAGUAUCACCCGGCGUUGACGUUUUAUACUGAACUGACCGAGGUAAAGCACUAAUGAUGGGACCCGAAAGAUGGUGAACUAUGCCUGAAUAGGGUGAAGCCGGAGGAAACUCCGGUGGAGGCUCGUAGCGAUUCUGACGUGCAAAUCGAUCGUCAAAUUUGGGUAUAGGGGCGAAAG